GCAAGAUCGUUCAAUAGUAAAAGUCAGAAAAAAGUAGACUAUUCUUUAUCAAACUAUUUGUUUUGAUACAUUAACCAAAAAGAUAAAGUAGAAAAGUAGAGGAGCAACUAACAGUAAGAAAAGUUUCUGCUAAUGUAAAUAUCAAGUCCAAUGUUAGUGAACAAAUAAGAGCUUUCGAAUUUUCAAUUAUUGAGGAAAUUCAAUCAGAACAAUUACACAUCGGAAGUUUUCAAAAGAAUAAAAGUUCAAAUAUAAUUUAUUUUUACGAAGUUCAGUUGCUUAUUGCUUCUAGUAAGUUUGGUUUUGUGAAUUUACUUCUGAAUCUCGCUAUGAAUCAGCAAUAUUGCAUCCUGUAACGCUAUACUGCAUUCCUGUAGAGUUCAUUAUAUAGGUUUCACAUUUUACUAUGGCAUUUGUCGCGUAUACAUGACUUAUGAUUUAAAAUUUCGUUUACGCUGAUUUACAACAUUUAAAGAAUGGUACUGUUGAGCUUAUCUUUCAAUGCUUCUUUCGUAGAGUUAUAGUAGCUACAAUAUUAAAUAUGAAGAUAACAUGUUAUAUAUGACGAUAUAAGUAAGCAAAGCCGGUCAGUCCAAUGUCAGUUGCACAGUGUCAAUCGAAAAAGCGGUUUGCAGUACCUUGUCGGUUUGUAUUUUGU